AUUGAACGCUGGCGGCAGGCCUAACACAUGCAAGUCGAGCGGCAGCGGGAAGUAGCUUGCUACUUUGCCGGCGAGCGGCGGACGGGUGAGUAAUGUCUGGGAAACUGCCCGAUGGAGGGGGAUAACUACUGGAAACGGUAGCUAAUACCGCAUAACGUCGCAAGACCAAAGAGGGGGACCUUCGGGCCUCUUGCCAUCGGAUGUGCCCAGAUGGGAUUAGCUAGUAGGUGGGGUAACGGCUCACCUAGGCGACGAUCCCUAGCUGGUCUGAGAGGAUGACCAGCCACACUGGAACUGAGACACGGUCCAGACUCCUACGGGAGGCAGCAGUGGGGAAUAUCGCACAAUGGGCGCAAGCCUGAUGCAGCCAUGCCGCGUGUAUGAAGAAGGCCUUCGGGUUGUAAAGUACUUUCAGCGGGGAGGAAGGUGUUGAGGUUAAUAACCUCAGCAAUUGACGUUACCCGCAGAAGAAGCACCGGCUAACUCCGUGCCAGCAGCCGCCGCGG
rnacentral:rRNA from 1 species